rnacentral:rRNA from 1 species
GCUAGUUGUACGAGUUCAGACUCGUAGCAGAUAGCUCAGUAACACGUGGCCAAACUACCCUAUAGAUCCAGACAACCUCGGGAAACUGAGGCUAAUCCGGAAUAGGGCUCUCAUCCUGGAGUGGAGAGAGCCUGAAACGCUCCGGCGCCAUAGGAUGUGGCUGCGGCCGAUUAGGUAGACGGUGGGGUAACGGCCCACCGUGCCAGUAAUCGGUACGGGUUGUGAGAGCAAGAGCCCGGAGACGGUAUCUGAGACAAGAUACCGGGCCCUACGGGGCGCAGCAGGCGCGAAACCUUUACACUGCACGCCAGUGCGAUAAGGGGACUCCAAGUGCGAGGGCAUAUAGUCCUCGCUUUUUGCGACCGUAAGGUGGUCGCGGAAUAAGUGCUGGGCAAGACCGGUGCCAGCCGCCGCGGUAAUACCGGCAGCACGAGUGAUGACCGCUGUUAUUGGGCCUAAAGCGUCCGUAGCUGGCCGCGCAAGUCUAUCGGGAAAUCUCUCCGCUUAACGGAGAGGCGUCCGGUGGAAACUGUGUGGCUUGGGACCGGAAGACCAGAGGGGUACGUCUGGGGUAGGAGUGAAAUCCCGUAAUCCUGGACGGACCACCGGUGGCGAAAGCGCCUCUGGAAGACGGAUCCGACGGUGAGGGACGAAAGCUCGGGUCACGAACCGGAUUAGAUACCCGGGUAGUCCGAGCUGUAAACGAUGUCUGCUAGGUGUGACACAGGCUACGAGCCUGUGUUGUGCCGUAGGGAAGCCGUGAAGCAGACCGCCUGGGAAGUACGUCCGCAAGGAUGAAACUUAAAGGAAUUGGCGGGGGAGCACUACAACCGGAGGAGCCUGCGGUUUAAU